CCUUGAGCAGCAACGCCGCGUGAGUGAAGAAGGCCUUCGGGUCGUAAAGCUCUGUCAAGUGGGAAGAACCCUUCUGGAGUGAACAGCUCCGGGAGCUGACGGUACCACUGAAGGAAGCACCGGCUAACUCCGUGCCAGCAGCCGCGGUAAUACGGAGGGUGCAAGCGUUAUUCGGAAUUACUGGGCGUAAAGGGCGCGCAGGCGGCUUGUUAAGUCAGUUGUGAAAGCCCGGGGCUCAACCCCGGAAGUGCGACUGAAACUGGCGGGCUUGAGUAUGGGAGAGGGAAGUG
rnacentral:rRNA from 1 species